GAUGAACGCUGGCGGCGUGCCUAAUACAUGCAAGUCGAGCGAACGGACGAGAAGCUUGCUUCUCUGAUGUUAGCGGCGGACGGGUGAGUAACACGUGGAUAACCUACCUAUAAGACUGGGAUAACUUCGGGAAACCGGAGCUAAUACCGGAUAAUAUUUUGAACCGCAUGGUUCAAAAGUGAAAGACGGUCUUGCUGUCACUUAUAGAUGGAUCCGCGCUGCAUUAGCUAGUUGGUAAGGUAACGGCUUACCAAGGCAACGAUGCAUAGCCGACCUGAGAGGGUGAUCGGCCACACUGGAACUGAGACACGGUCCAGACUCCUACGGGAGGCAGCAGUAGGGAAUCUUCCGCAAUGGGCGAAAGCCUGACGUAGCAACGCCGCGUGAGUGAUGAAGGUCUUCGGAUCGUAAAACUCUGUUAUUAGGGAAGAACAUAUGUGUAAGUAACUGUGCACAUCUUGACGGUACCUAAUCAGAAAGCCACGGCUAACUACGU
rnacentral:rRNA from 1 species